rnacentral:rRNA from 1 species
UCCCAGACUCCUACGGGAGGCAGCAGUGGGGAAUAUUGCACAAUGGGGGAAACCCUGAUGCAGCGACGCCGCGUGAGUGAAGAAGUAUUUCGGUAUGUAAAGCUCUAUCAGCAGGGAAGAAAAUGACGGUACCUGACUAAGAAGCCCCGGCUAACUACGUGCCAGCAGCCGCGGUAAUACGUAGGGGGCAAGCGUUAUCCGGAUUUACUGGGUGUAAAGGGAGCGUAGACGGCCAGACAAGUCAGAAGUGAAAGCCCAGGGCUCAACCCUGGGACUGCUCUUGGAACUGCGUGGCUAGAGUGCAGGAGGGGCAGGCGGAAUUCCUGGUGUAGCGGUGAAAUGCGUAGAUAUCAGGAGGAACACCGGUGGCGAAGGCGGCCUGCUGGACUGCAACUGACGUUGAGGCCCGAAAGCGUGGGGAGCAAACAGGAUUAGAUACCCGGGUA